rfam:Triticum aestivum genome assembly, contig: Triticum_aestivum_CS42_TGACv1_scaffold_406633_5BL
UUCCUACUCCCUCCGUCCGGAAAUACUUGUCAUCAAAAUUGAUAAACGGGAUGUAUCUAGAUGUAUUUUAGUUCUAGAUACAUCUCUUUCUAUCCAUUUUGAUGACAAGUAUUUUCGGACGAAGGGAGUACUAG